rnacentral:lncRNA from 1 species
GAGGGCCAUUCUGCAGGCAAGCACCAGCUGCUGUGUUGUAGGUCAGUGAGCUACUAAGCUGGUAUCUAGCACAAGAUAUGGAAGUAACCACAAUCAGUGGCAUAUACAGAACGAAAAUUACAGUGUGUAGAAACCUAAGCCAGCUCACGAAGACUGUAAUCUUGUGAUUGAUGAAGUUGUCUUGUGGUUGGGAUCCCAUUGUCCUGAAUGAUCAUACGCUGGAGAGGCAAUUUUGUGGAUAACCCAGAAAGCUUACAGAAUAAAAUAUGACAAUGGAGUCACAACCUCAGUUAUCCCCAGCCAUCCAAUGAAACGGAUGGGAUUGCCCAUUUCCUUUAAAAGCAGGCCACCUAGUGCUUGCAGAGGUUCAGCACAGAGAGGAGCCCACUGCCAGCACUUUGGUUUGCUCCCUCCCUCAUUUGCACUCCCUUCAAACCAUGGAGCUGCUCACCUACUUUUGAAAACACACUGUGCCACCAUGCAACUUAAAAUAACAGAAACUUCAGGUUGUUGAUUUCACAGGCCUGUUUCCUGUCUGGCUCUCUGCUACUUGCUUUGCUCCAGCCCUGGGUUUUGUCAGACCCCUCUGUCAACCAGUAUUAAUGCCCUAAUAUGGCCAAAAAGCAUCAAGGAACAUGACAAUGUGAUUGGGAUCAGCUGGAUUAAUGAACUAAGCCAAGGGUAGAAGGAUCUAGCACCAGGAGUGGCCCAGCGAGGAGGCAGUACUGGGAGAAAAGAAGACAAAAGAGAAAGAUAAAACAAUAUUCCCUUUUCACCACCACCAACAAGCCAGCAGAAACCACAUCCUCAGGUUCACCAGAGAAAAAGAGGAUUAAGGUAGAAACAUUGACAGCUUCUCAUCCUCCAGACUGACAUCAGGGAAAAAUAAGAGGAAAAAAAUAUGCCCCAGUCCUUUACAUGGACUAUUAAAAAUGAUGAGCCAGUAGUAGCCAUACUGGAAUGUGACAUCUCCAAAGAAAGCCGGAAGGCACAGCCCAGAAUGAUGUUACUAAUUCUGUAGCUGUAUGACUAGACACGUAACCAGUGUCCCAGGAAGACACUUUAUCCCAGCAUUUUGCUGGAGCUUCCUUUCCUCCCAGUGAGACAAGGAGAAGACCCAGACACCUGCUGUUAUUAAUGGUCCUGUGGCACUUCUUAUAGAAUGUCUAAAUUCUGGUGAAGGUAAACCCUGUCUGAAUUUUGCUUUGGAUAAAUCUCUCUGUGACAGGUGAGUUUGGAGUGUUUUGUGCAUGUGUAAGAAGUGUAAAUACUGAGCUAUGCAGCCCUGGAUAUUGUAUAGCACAGCUAAAUUCAGUCCUGCAUGGCUGCCAAUGUAUUUGGCAAUAUUCUCUUUUUAUUGUUGGGGUUUAGACUUUUAGUUAAAAUGAAAAAUCAGUAAUUUUUCAUUCUAAUCUGUUUUUAAAGAUGUGUAGAGCUCUUAUUUUUAUUAAAAAUGAAGAAAAAAAGAAAUGUAACACUAGCUAGAGGAUCAGUCUUCAUCAACAACAAGAAAAUUCCUGGAAAAGCUAUGUCUUAUCCUGUAAAACUUGAGAAAAUUAUUGAAUGACAGAAGUUAUAAAUAAAUGUUUUCUAUAUUUGGUCUGCAUUGGGUAAUGGGCACCUUCAUAUAUAUCUUUUGUUAACCACAAAGAAUACAGGCUGCACUGUUGUAUCUGGGAUGGAAAUCCUGACAUUUCUAUAGUGGUAGGAAAUUUAAUAGUAGAAGAGUUCUAAACAAGCUUCUUUCCAAACAAAAAAAAGGCUGCAAUUUCGCUCCCCAGUGCAUGGUCCUGUUGGCAGAACUUUACUUUUGACUUAGGAUCAUUUCACAUUAGCUCUGUAUCACCCUGACAAGUUUUCACCUGCAGUGUGCAUCACUAUCUUUCCUGAAAAGAACUGGAGAACACCUACACAAAAAAGCCUCAGCAGAACACUUUAUUUUAAUGAAUAGAAUGUAUUUUCUCUAGCACAGUGUGUAUUUUUCACUCACAUACACAUAUAUAAUGCCCUCAAAUACACCAUAUAGCUAUGCUGUUGCAAUUUAUUAUUCAUAUUAAAUAAAUGUUAAUUUCAAAUUUCCAAAUAUUUUAAAACUCAUCACUUAUAAAGCUGUAAUUAAUUUUACUUGGAAAUCCAGCCUCAUCAUCAGUAUCUAUCAGGUUUCUGCAAUCUCAUCAAAUGAAUUUACAUUAAAAAAAUUAUCCUCCCCUGGCACACCUGAGACAGAAGGGGACCAAAAAAAACAGCCUUGAAUUAAAAACAAGCCAAAAGGCAGGAAGCUAUAAUUUGUACUCUGGAUCCUGGCACAUUUCUCAUUUCACAUACCAGUUAUCAGGAGUGGCCUUGUGUAUUCUAAAACUGUCCCUCAUAAAAAAAAAAAAUCCAAACUUCUAUUUUUGUGAUAGGGAAAAAUGAGCCCUAAAGCUGCAAAGGUGUAAAAGGCUCCUCCUCCCUGGAUCCUGAAGGAGACAGGAGGAGAAAGGAUGCCUUUGAGCAAACCUGUCUUGCCAGAGCCUGAGGCAACCAAGAUGGGAGACCAAAACAUUGGAUUGCUUCCUAGAAGGAGCCACAUGCAGAGUCCUCGUGAUUCUUCUGAAACCCUGGAGUUCUUCCCCACACAAAUCAUUCAUCUCCAUCAGCUCUCAACCCCAAAAAAAUCCUGGAAAAUGAACACAUUUUGCCAAUGAACAAGAAAUCGGAUCAAUGUAACUUCAUUUUCUGGUGCAAAAAUAGUAAAGCUGGGCUUGUAGGAGAAUGGAAAUCCAUUUCCAUUUUUCUCCUUUGGUAUAAUGUCUUUUAAAGGGUGUAUUACUAGAGAAUCCAUCAUCAAUAUGUUAUUGUUAACUUACCCUUCGGUGGCUUUAUUAUACUCAUAAAGAAUUGGGUGGUUCAACACUUAUGACUAUUACAGACCUUUUAGCAUAAAGUAAAGAGAUACAAAUAUUAUCAGUGCUUCAGCCACUAAUUUCUUUUCUGUAUCCCAUCCUCAUUGCCCCUAGGGAACCAAAAACCAUAGUUGAUCAAUCCUUUUAGUAACUUUUAGUAGCAUAUUUUUCAAUAAACUAUUUGACUGCAAUCUCUCAAGAUAACCAACUUGAAGGGACAAGCCUCCGUAUUUCCAUGUACUCCAAGCUCAUGAAAUUUAAAACUACUGGUAAUUCUGGAAAGUUUUUUGGCAGACAAGGAAAAAAUAAAGUAAUAUUUUUACAAGUCAUCUUUCAGGAUCAGAUUCUGAUUUAUCUAAAG